rnacentral:rRNA from 1 species
UAAAACGUAGGAGCCAAGCGUUAUCCGAAUUCACUGGGCGUAAAGCGCAUGUAGGCGGCAUGACAAGUUGGAUGUAAAAACUCCCGGCUCAACUGGGAGAGGCCGUUCAAAACUGUCAAGCUAGAGGGCGACAGAGGGAGGUGGAAUUCCGGGUGUAGUGGUGAAAUGCGUAGAUAUCCGGAGGAACACCAGAGGCGAAGGCGACCUCCUGGGUCGCGCCUGACGCUCAGAUGCGAAAGCUAGGGGAGCGAACGGGAUUAGAAACCCCGGUAGUCCUAGCCGUAAACGAUGUAGACUGGGUGUCGGCGGGGUAAAAGCCGUCGGUGCCGAAGCCAACGCGAUAAGUCUACCGCCUGGGGACUACGGCCGCAAGGUUAAAACUUAAAUGAAUUGACGG